GACGAACGCUGGCGGCGUGCCUAAUACAUGCAAGUCGAACGCACAGUUUAUACCGUAGCUUGCUGCACCAUAGACUGUGAGUUGCGAACGGGUGAGUAACGCGUAGUUAACCUUCCUGGUAGCGGGGGAUAACUAUUGGAAACGAUAGCUAAUACCGCAUAAUAUUGAUUAUUGCAUGAUAAUUGGUUGAAAGAUGCUAUUGCAUCACUACCAGAUGGGCCUGCGUUGUAUUAGCUAGUAGGUGAGGUAACGGCUCACCUAGGCGACGAUACAUAGCAGAACGGAGAGGGUGAUCGGCCACCCUGGGACUGAGACACGGCACAGAGUCCUACGGGAGGGAGCAGGAGGGCAUCUUCGGCAAUGGAUGAAAGUCUGACCGAGCAACGCCGAGUGAGUGAAGAAGGUUGUCGGAUCGGAAAGCUCUGUUGUAAGAGAAGAACGGGUGUGAGAGUGGAAAGUUGACAAUGUGGCGGUAUCUGACCAGAAAGGGACGGCUAACUACGUG
rnacentral:rRNA from 1 species